UGUAGGAGUGAGCCUGCUCGCGAUAACGGUGUGUCAGCGACAAGUUUGCUGGCUGACACUCCGCUAUCGCGAGCAGGCUCACUCCUACA
rnacentral:misc_RNA from 1 species